AUUGAACGCUGGCGGCAGGCCUAACACAUGCAAGUCGAGCGGAUGAAGGGAGCUUGCUCCUGGAUUCAGCGGCGGACGGGUGAGUAAUGCCUAUGAAUCUGCCUGGCAGUGGGGGAUAACGUCCGGAAACGGGCGCUAAUACCGCAUACGUCCUGAGGGAGCAAGUGGGGGAUCUUCGGACCUCACGCUAUCAGAUGAGCCUAGGUCGGAUUAGCUAGUUGGUGGGGUAAAGGCCUACCAAGGCGACGAUCCGUAACUGGUCUGAGAGGAUGAUCAGUCACACUGGAACUGAGACACGGUCCAGACUCCUACGGGAGGCAGCAGUGGGGAAUAUUGGACAAUGGGCGAAAGCCUGAUCCAGCCAUGCCGCGUGUGUGAAGAAAGUCUUCGGAUUGUAAAGCACUUUAAGUUGGGAGGAAGGGCAGUAAGUUAAUACCUUGCUGUUUUGACGUUACCAACAGAAUAAGCACCGGCUAACUUCGUG
rnacentral:rRNA from 1 species